CAAUAAAUAAGUACAUCGAUGUAUAUAUAUAUAUAUAAUAAUAUACCAACAUACAUAAACAUAUUACAAUAUACAGAUACUUAUGCACACUUACAUUAAUACAUAUUUGCAUGCAUACGUACAUACAUAAUUCUGUGAGAAUCCAUGGGAUACACUUGAAAUCUCGGUGAAUGAAAAUUAGAUAUGUCUAUACAAACGUCAUGUGCUUUGCUUUAAAGAAACUCCUUGGGUGCAAAAUUUUUGCAUGGAACCAAUCAAUGAAUUUUAGCAAAUAAAUACAGGAAAGCAAAUCAAAAUUACUUUACUAAGUCAACCUAGUCCUCCUCCACAAACCCCAAUCCCAAAUUUAAAUCUUCUCCUUAAAAUUUGAUUUAUACCUAUUUUCGUAGGGUUUUGGUGCUCAUCCCUGUUUCGGUACAACCAAAUUACUCAAGACAAUGAUAUCGUUGUUAUGCUACUUUAAGCCUUAACAUUAAUACACGCACACUUCAAAAUUCUCUCUUUCUUCCCCCGCCCCCCACAUACAUACACAUACACACCAAAGUCCAAAUGUUAAAACCAUAAUGUUUUAAUUUAUUGGAAGUACCAGGUGAAGAAAGUUAAUACAUAUCUGGUAUAUAAAUCAUAUAAAAAAAAAGUACAAAACAAGCAACAAUAUUACUGAGUUUCAAAAAAAUACUAAGUUAUCAGGUGUUUAAUGUAUGUUUGUGUGGCAAGUGUGAUAUAAAACGGAGCACCACUCCUUUGUUCAGAUAAAUUUUCAGUAAAUAGAAAUAGGAGUUGUUGGUGUUAUUCUAGUUUUCUUUGCCUUGUUUUAAUUAAGGUCUUUGAUUCAAUUUCGGCAUAUACUUUCGACUAGUCUUUCAGUCUUCCCCUCACUGACCAUAACCCUCUCAAGUCAAACAUCAUAGUCUCUAGUAUCAUAACUCCAUAUUUUCUUAAAACAUUUAGAAGCCCUUAGGCAAAGCAGAAACCUGGUCUAUACUAUUUAUUGAGUGUGAGCAAACCACAAUAUAUAUGCUUAACAUUGGACCCUUAGAUCUGUGAGGCCUCCAAGUAACCUACCCAGUAUGCCCAUGCUUUAUGAUGGCUCUACUUGUAGCACUCUUAGACAUUAUUGGUGGCAUAACAGCUUAAACCCAUUAUAUUUUUCCUUCUAUAUUGUAACAUUACAGAAAGAACAAAGUCCAUAGUUUGAAGUCCUUCCUGGCAAAAAAAUAUCAUUGGGUGAUUAUUUUUGUUGAUUUACUUUUAUUUUUAUGAUUAAAAUAAAUCAAGAUAUGGAGAAAAUUUUUUAAAUAUUAAUCCUUCUGUUUCAUUGAAAUUAAUUUAAGUCAUUAAUUUAUGUAAUUGCCCACAUUUUUUUUUUUUUUGUUAUCAGAGACAGCCAUUGAGGAAUAACCAUUUGUUAUUGGUUUAAAAAAUAGGAGAUAUUAAUGCUUAUGUUUCCUUUUUCUCAAAGAUACUGUCUAUUUAAUUU